CAGUGAUUUCAGCUCUUUUAGUAUUUGUCUAGCAGGUUUCCUGGGGUGCCAGGAAACCUCU
ensembl:snRNA U7 U7 small nuclear RNA